GCUCUCAGGGGACGGUUGGUCCUCAGGGGCCUCGCUGCGGACGCCUCUGGCUGAGGCGGUAGGGUCGUUGUCACCCCGUCCGCCUGGUCCGGACAAAGGUGGCGGCGGGCGGCGGCCGCGGUAGCGGUGGGCGGAGUCCGCCCUGUGGGGUGGGAGGCCGGAUAAUUUCUUCAUGGGUAGUAAACCCGAAAGAGACAAAACACAAGCUACCUACUGGUGGUGAUUCUGUACGUAGGAUAAGCACCAUUGCUUCAGCCAUUGCAGAUGCAUCAGUGAGUACUGAUCCUUCCCAACUUCCGGCCAUGAUCAAAGCACUUUCAAAUGAAACUAGAGAGACGACUUUUCAGGAGGAUAAUGAACAGAAGGACUAUUCCGCUGAGUCUCAUUUCUUGCCUAGUUGUAUAGGAAAAAGUAGUGGCUCCAGCAUGUUUGAUAUGGUGAAAUACCUUACCAGAACAGAAGUUAGUAGAUAUGAAUGUGGACUGGAAGACUUUUCAAGAGCCAGUAGUACAUCUGAUAUUUGGGAUUUAUCUUUGCCAAAAGAACAGACUACACAAAACAUCCAUACAGUGGACUUGGGUGCUACUAAUAAAACCUUAGGGGAACCCAGAAGAAAAUAUAGUAUUUACUUUUUAUGGUGAAAAUGGAAGAGUGAGAAUCAGGAAUCAUUUAGAAAAAACUUUCCAUGUUCAAUUUUUACAAAUAGAAAAGAGAGUGAACAUAUGGUAGUUGACAUGAAGCCCUAUCCUAUUGACACCAAAUUAACAGAUAUUGGUAACCGUGUAACAGCCCCAUCGGUAUCCACUCCAAAAUCUGAUAGUGAUUCAUUAGUAAAGAAUCUCGGCCUAGCAUCUGUUUGGCUGUCAGAAAAGAGUGAAAAAAUACCAAAUAAUGAAGAAAAUCAGAGGGAAAUGAAUGUGCUAGUGAAGCAAGCAACAGUGAAAAACAUGUGACUUUCAUUGGAAAACAUUGCAUAGUUGCACCUAAGAAUGUUGGUUUGCAAAAUCACUCUCCUGAAUAUGGUGGACAUGGCUGAGGAAGGUAGCUUCAGAUCUUCCUCUUCUCCACUGAAUCAUUCUCCUAGUGAAAUUUCUGGAACAAGUUUAUGAGGCUGGUCUUCUGGAGGAGUGGCCUGCUUUGCUGAUUCCCAGGUUUGUGCACCUGGGGGAGCUGCUCAGCCCUCUGCCUGGUGCAUGGCUCAGCAGGAGUUGUUUAUCCUGUGAGACCCCGUGAGGAACAACAACAGUGGCAGUGGCCAGCUCUGGGGCCCUGGAUUCAGCUCCCGCAGUCCUCAGCUUGGUGGCAUUCACCUCAUGGAACCCCCUGAAUCCUACUCUCUCAUUCGUCAUAUUUCAAAGCUCCUGACAGAAAAGGUUCAUGUACCGCAUGAUAUAACCGAAGUACAAGACGUUAGAGGUCAAGCUCAGUUAGCAAUUUCAGACAAGACAGUGUAAGUGUGUACAAUUAAUGUAAACUGGUGAAUGUCUGGGACCACAGACAUCAGAACAACAAAGACCUAAAAGUCAUCUUGUCCAACAAGGAGAGUGUGGUGGUUUCUCUGGCCAAAGCAUUAUUCUGGCAAGGGACAACCGAUGUCUGAUCCAUCAGGUCCCAGCCAGGGAAGAGUGGCUACUACGCAUCCGGCCAAGAAGCUGGGGCCUUCAGGGAAUUUCUGCCUUCAAGAGAGCUGCCAAAGGAAAUACAGAAAGGCAGGAAAUCCUAGCUCAGAAGUCAGCACAGUUGUUCAUGGAACCUGGCCCAGGUGUGACCUUCAAUGUACACAAAUAUCUUUCCCCCUCAAGAAAACCAAGAGGGAAAGGAAUUCAGAGAUCACUGACGAGGAUCCCAGGAGAAUUCCAGUGUUGGUCACUGGUGAAAGUUGGAACCCCUGGAGUGAGACUGAGGAUGGAAAGUCCUGCCUGCCCUAUUUCAUCCACUAAUUAUCUUCCACUGGCCUCAUGCCUUCCAUGUGCAGGAUAUAGUCUCUUUACAUGUUUGUCCCCACUUUAGUGUUGAUGCAAUUCCAGAAGUGGAACUAGACAACUACACGUUCCUAAUAAUGGAACUGUCAAACCCUAAAACCCAAGCCAAAAUAAUCUACACACAAAGAGUGGCAAGAAAAAGUCCUCCUUCCUUUAAACUGUACAAAGGGAGCCACUGUCCUCGGGCAGGAGGUAGUUCUGGCAAGUGGUAUCCUUCAAGACCCCCAAUUCAGUGAUUGUUGCUAUUCCUGUGGAAAUACCUCCAACCUCUAAAUCUCAGCAGUUAUGAAGAGGUGUUUCUGCUGUUUGCCCAAGUUCCUUACACUGUCCUCUGAGAAAGGAGGGCUUGGGGAUGCCCUUCCGUAGCUAGGGAGGAAGCUGGAUCUUCUACUUUUUCCCACAUACAGGAGCUGAUGACUCUGUAAGAUUUCCUGUUUAAAAUGAGCAUAAGAGGGUAACCUGGGUGGCUCAGUGUUUGAGCAUCUGCCUUUGUCUCAGAUCAUGAUCCUGGAGCCCUGUGUUUGAGUCCCAUGACAGGCUCCCCACAGGGAGCCUGCCUCUCUCUUGUGUCUCUCAUGAAUAAAUAAAGAAUAUUUAGGGGGGAAAAAAAGAAAAUGAAUAUGAGACUCUUUAAGUCUUUUAGAUUACUAUAGGAAGUAAAAGAACCAAACUACUCCUGGACUCUAAAAAGGCUUUAAUAUUAUAAUAUUGAAAUCUACCAUUUACUCUUUAAGAUGAUGAAAUAUUGGUCCUCCAAAUAAUUGAAGAGACGGAAGGAAGUGUUGAGCAGUCGGGUCCCAUGCCCGCUGUUGCCCCUGGACACCAGCUCGGCCUGAGGUUGACUGUGGCCAGUUCUUUCUGUUUGUGAGCUAGGUUUGUUGCGCCAGCUAGCAGGACAAGAUGUAGCUAAGGACAGAGUGACACAUGUCAGUUGAGCAGGAGCUUCAAUUCAGGAGUUUUUCCUGAUAUUUUCCAAGGAGCUGGAGCCUGGUGCCCCAGCAGCAAGGUUGGAGGCUGCCCCAGGAGCCAUAUUAGAAGGAUCCCUGGAGUGGCCACCUGAGGAGACUACCACUACGCUCACUCAGCUCCUGAUGGGCCUCACCUCUCCUCUUCACUGAGCCACUUCCCAGACUGGAACCAGGCCCUAAAUGGAUGCUUGGGCUCUACGUUGUAAUGAUCUGCAGCCACCUGGAGCAGCAUGAUCUCAGUCAUGAAUCUGCAUUCCUGGGCCAAAAGAGAAGGACAGGAUACAUGAAGAGCCUGGGUGGGGAAGCUACAAGGUCUUUGGAGGGCUGAGCACUGGGACAGAGGAACAGUGCUGAGUCUUUGACACAUGGCGACAACCCCGUCCUCCAAAUUCGUCCCAACUUGUUCUCAGAGGUGAGUAUAAACUGCCCCUGAUAUGGCAAGUUAUCCUUGAUGGCCAUUCCUCUGUCCUCACUAACUAUAUAGGACUUUUUCCUUAUUAUGAAACUAUUCCCAAAAAUGUGAGAAUGAAGGGAUGGAAGCAAGGAAUGAUCCUCCUGGGGACAUCUCUGACAGCCACAGCCCUACCCUUUCCUACAGGAAGUCAUAGAGAGCCUCACCUUAUUCUUCUUCCGGUGGUUGAUCUCAUUGCCCUGGAAAGCAGAAAACCAAAGUCUGUCAGUGAGAGGACUCCGGUUAUUACUGGCUGCUAAUACCCACCCCUUCUCAUGUUGCACUAAGGCCAGGCACACAAGGGGCCAUGACUCCCCGGAUGACAGGACUGCAAUGUAGGUCAGGCUCUGGGAGCCAGGGAAAGGAAGACAUGGGGUGGCAGGUCUGGCAUCCUAUAGCACAGGAAGGGGAGGCCAAAGCCUCAGGAGGGCAAGAGAUGCUAGGCUCUUUAAGUGCCCGCUCAAGUUAGAGAUCCUGACUUCACUCUGCCCCCACAGGCAAUCUCAAAGGGACAGGCUGAAGUCAACCCAGACUAACCUCGUGCUGUUUUGCAUUCAGGCAGCAGAUUUGAUCUCAGGGCCAGUGAACUAAGUGCAGCCUCCCUUUAUUCAUCACAGACAUGGGCAAGUAACUCUAGCUCACAGGGGAGCGGGGAGGCUGUCACGAGGGGAAAAUUUGCCAAGGACUGAGAGCUCAGGGCUCAGUUCAGGGGUUCUGUGCUCCCACACAUCAGGAUUCUGGCCCCUCCUUCCCAGCCCUCAGGCUCAUGCACCUCCAGGUUCUCCUCCAUUGCAGCAUCCCACAUGAGUAGGUCAGUGAGGAAGGUGCCAAGGAAGGGGACGAGACCCUGUGUCAGGGGGUUGGGGGUGGAGUGAGUCCCUGCUCUCUCGUGUCCCCUGGGAUCCUCCCCGGGAAACAUUUCAGCCUCCUGGCCCACCCCAGCUUACCACAUGGUGCAGACAAGGUCCCUUCCCUCACCGUCCAAGAACAUCAGAGUCCUCCUAAUCAUUUAAAGGGCGUGCUUUAGAAAAUCAUUGUAUAUGUGGCCCUGGGUCCCUGCCACCAACAAACAUAUUUGUAUCUAGGUUUAUAGACCCUCUUCCAGGUCACUUCAAAAGAAGGGAUUUAGAAGCUGUGGCAACAGGAGGCGGAGCUGGAGUUGGAAGGCCCCUGUCUUGAUUUGGGGGCUUCCAGCUUUCAGGGAAGACCCCCGUCUCCUCUGGGUUCGAGACCAUGUAUCUGGGGCAUGCUCAGCUUCUUCUGCCACUCCCUCUUCCAUGCUCUCUGAACAUUUACCCCCAGGGUUCCAAGUUUAGAUGGCCGUUCCUGCAGGGCUAAGGACAAGUUCCUCAAGAUCAUAAUCACCUCAGGCUGCUUCUCCCCACCAUCUUUGACUCAGAUGCUGGACAUCUGACACAAGGCAGAGGGUAGCAUGCUUCGUUAUCCUUAAGCCUGCCAUGAGUGAUUCUAGAACAAUCUCAGCUCCAACAUUCACUCCCUGUGUGACUUUGAGCUUGCAGUCUGGCCUCCCUGAGCCUGGUUCCUCACUGGGAAAGGUUGAGAAUUCCAGCUACCUCCCUUGGUCUCCUGAGGACCCAGUGUCCUAUUCCUAGCAUCAUUGUUGUGGCCCUCAUCCCAUCCAAAUCCCUCACUGAGCAGAGGCAUGUCCUCUGGGCUCUCAAGUUUGGUAGAGGCCCCCAUCUGGACCAGCUGGUGACAGGGAGCUUGUGUGUCCAGCCUAGGGAUUCUGGUUGAGCAGCAACUGCUUUUCCACCCCUUGUGGAUUUUCACCCCUGGCUGUGUCCACAUUCAUGCCAAAGGCUUCACUCCCUGAGGGAAUGCUCCUGGCCAGUCCCUAAUUCAUUCACGAAGGACACUGUUGCUCCCACACCUCUUCUCUUUCUAUACCAACACCUUCCAUGCUACCUUGAUAAGCAGGUUCCUGCUCUGUGAAUUGUCUUUGGUGCACAUUUUUUAAAAAUGUUCGAAUGUUAUUCCUGAAUAGAGAGAAAGAAGGCAGGAUGGAUGUUGGAAUACUAAGGUAGGGUUGAGUGCAAGUCCCUAUGAUCUGAGACCUCCAAGGAGUCAAACUGCUGGAUCAGGGUUUUCUUUGGGUUCCUCUGAGCACUCAGGCAUUGGAGGACACAGGAGGGAGCUCUCUUGUGGGUCAUCCACUGCAUCCAGUCCCCUAUUAAUUGAACAGCUCUCCUUUGGUCAGUUUUUGUUUCAAUUGGGAAGAGACUUUAGUUGCUAUAAUGUUCAUAUCCAAAAACUUUUAAUUCAGCUCAGCCCAGUCUCCCCAAAUGGGGACAUUUGGAGGCAUGGUGGCCUAUUCCCCAGAAAGGAUUAGAAAAUAACCUGUCCCCCUGCCCCCCCCCCACGUCCUGUUUCACGGUUUGCUGCCUCCUAGGAAGUCCAGGGUGACUGAGGGGGGUGAAAAGGACAGGCAUAUGGGACAUCCCUCAUCCUUCAUGGUCCUUCUGGAGAGAGGACGCCUUACCUGGAAACUUUGGUCCAUGUGUUCUUCAGUCGGUGAAUUGAGGCACUCUGCAGAGCAGAGAUGAUGGCAUGCAUGGAAGAGUAGUUCCGCAAGAUUUGACAGGCCUGGGGAUGGAAGAGAAGGAGCUGUCAGGUGGAUAGCAGGAGCCAAUAUCCUGGAGAGCUGCACUCUUCUUCAGUGUCAGUCUCCUCUCCUGGAUGAGACAGAUGUCUAGAGACCUACAGAAGGGCAGGUGGAAGACCCAGCGAGGAGCACUGCUGGGGAGAGGGGGCAUUUUCCUUCACUCCAAGGAAAGAGUCAUGUAGGAACUGAGCAUCCCAACAUUGGGCCAUGCAAGGACAGGUCAGCAUGCCCCUUGAAAGAAGAACUCAGACCAGAGACUUCAACAUUGAGAACUGAUCAAGGGCAGAGCAGUUCCCGAGGCUCAGGAGAGCAAGUCAGCUGGGCCUCCUGUAGGCUUACCUUGGCCACCUUGAUCCAGUGCUCCACCACCAUGGCCUGUCCUGGGCCAUCAUGCAUGCGUUGCCAAGGAAGGUGGUGAUGACGCAGUUGGACACGUCGUUGAACUGGGUGAUGGUGGCAUGGACUGUGCAUGCCAGGUGCUCAUUUCCAGGUUCAUUUCGCUUGGAGCAAAUGGAGCUCAGGCACUGUUGGGGCAGCAGCUUCUUGAACAGAUCCUUGAAUAGGGGGACGCUCGCUCUCACAGCCAUUUCACAUGCAAGAUUCAUGUCCUACGUAGGCAUCCCAUGUCAGAGCUGGGGCUCGGCAAGCGCAGAAAGUGGCCUGAACCCAGUUAGAGUCCCUGGAUUGCACUCCAUUCCUCUUCCCUGAGGGAGCACAGUACAGGAUGAAUGAGGAGCAGAUACUGCCGGGGGGGAGCAGAGGAAGGAGGGCAUUUGUGCCCUGAUCAUCCCCACUAACUUCAAGUUACAGGUGGCAGUUCAAGGGGGCUCCUCAGAGGGGCAUCUUCCCCUCCCAGUGUUCAUGCCUCUGGUCCUACUCCCCUUUCAGCAGCACAUUCUCACAGAGAGAGGUACAACCACAGGUUUGUCUCCCUGCCCUGUACUUCACACAUUAGAUGACUAAUGAAUGUAGGUUGCUCGGCCUCCAAGGCAGUUGUGUGGGUGAGCCGUGGGCUUGGCCGCACACAGUGAGUUGCCCUCCUCCACCCAAGGACCAGUGCCUGCCCAUUCGCCUAUCAGUUCUGGCUCAUUUAAUUGACACAGGAACUCUGCAUCAGUCCUUGCCAGGGUCUGUCUUCAAAGUCUGCAGCUGGACAGUGAAAGCAAGGGUUUGAGGAACAGGACGGGUUGAUGUGGUUCGUAAGUGAUGGAGCUGAGAUUUGGACCCUGACCAUACAAGCCCACAUCAGGGAAGGGCAGGUCUGGGGCAGAUGACAGCAGAAAGAAAGCCAGCCCUGGCCCCGUCCUGGGAGCCCAGCUGCUCACCACAUCUACGGAUGUCAAUUGCUCUGCCACCAGCUUGGGAGGGAAGUCCAUGAGACCGGGCUUUUCCUCAUGUAGCUGGUGCUCAGGAGUUAUGCACCAGUGGCAGGUCGCCUCUGGGGCUGGACGUGGCUCUGUCUCUAUGUUUAGGGAAGAAGUUACAAUUCCCAGGAAAGCUGGUGGUUGAACUGACUGCAGCUCAUGACCUGGUACACAUGCAGAAGAAGACAUGAGCUCUUGUUCCAGAUCUGGAACAGCUGAUGGAGGAGAUGCUGGAAGGAGCCAUGGAGCUGGCACUGGGACAGGAGAAAGAGAAAUGUUUGUCCACAAGACUGACUUGCCCCAUGCCCUUCCAAAAACAGGGCAGAUUCCAUGGCUGAUAGAGAAACCCCCAGUCCCUGAACCGCAUCGCAGAUAGUCUUCCCAGCUUGCAAUCCCCCUUACCCUCUGACUCUGUGUCUGCCUCAGUGAGCUGCAGAAGUUCCCGUGGCAUCACGGUAAUGGGGGUAUGGCAAUUCAUGUCCCAGUCAUGGAAAUAUGCCUGCACCCAGGCCCCCUUUACUUUGAAACAGGCACAGUGCAGGGACUGCCAGGUGUUCUGCAGUUUCUGGUCAGGCAAGGUACCCAAGAUGGGAGAGAGAGUGCUGGGGAGAGUCAUAUGUGGAGCAACAUCAGAGCAUGGCCUUUCAUGCCACAUGGUACUUCCAUAGCACCAUUCUGUCUGUGUGGGCCCCAGAGAAUGUCCCCAGCAUGAUUUCCAACCCCCUGUCGCUGUCCUUGCAGUGGAUGAUCUGGUCGUCCAGAAAACCUGUAUGAGUCUUGUUUUUCUACUUAGCCUGUUUUCUCAAUGGUCAAGGGCCUCGUCUGCUGCAUCCUUCAUGCACACCAGUAUCAGGGCUUAGGUUUGUGGCAGAUUGGUGAGUGGUCUGCUCACCAAAGUUUUGUUCUUGGCCCCAGUUGUGGAGGUCAGAAGAGGUGGUAUAGAGAGGUGCAGGAAGAGCAAGAUGGGACAGUUGAAGGGAUGGAUGUUUGAGGCACCAAUUCAGCCCAGACUGUGCUCUGCUUCCCAGAGGGCUUGGGACCUCAUCUACAGCUCCCUUUGACUCAUUUCCCUCUUCACAGGAAGCCCCAAAAAUGAAACCCUCCCAAUGGAACUCAAGAGACCUAUGAGAUCCAUGGGUCUGAGUUACUCCCCAGCCACAAACCCUUAGUCUCCCAACAUGCUCUGUGGAGAAAUUAAUGUUCUCCUUCAGGAUCCAAAGAUCAAAGUUUUACUUGAUCUUUCCCCAAAAUUUUUAAGGAUAUUUAUUAGAGCGAGCGAGUGAGCGAAUAAGCAUGGUGAGCAGGCUCCCCACUGAGCAGGGAGCCCAAUGGAGGGCUCAAACACAGGACCCUGGGAUAACGACCUGACCUCAUGGCAGAGGCCUACCUGAAUGAGCCACUCAGUGCCCUUACUUGAUCUUAUGGUCCAUGAUAAUGGUCCAGAUAUGGGUGGAUCCACUCAUUCCUUGAGGCGGCCAUGAAGAUGUCACAUCUAAAAAACUAUGGACAUGUGUGCCUAUGACAUACAGAGUGAUUGUCUGACACUCUGAUUAGUCUUGGGACCGAGACACUGUACCUUCUUUAUUCCUUCAAUUAUCUCACUGAAUAGAAAUGUGUCUGCAAUACAAGGUGCUUAAUAUGUAUUAUUGGAUGAAGGAAUCCCAACCAGCAAUUUCCGUAUACUGAGUGGAACUUGAGCUGCGCUGCCUUCCCCCAGUGACGUCUACUCUUAUGAGGACAGAGUAUCAGGACCAGUAGAUGGAAUCUCAGAAGUCCUUUGCAUACAGGAAAACUGCCUGCUUUGCAUGUGUUUCUGUAAAACCAGAAGUGCCACAGGCCCAUGGGGGUUGCUGUGGAGACCUUCUUAGCUGUGGAGAGAAAACUGCUACACAUGAAGAUGCCCAGCAGCCCUUUCUACAGAGCCAGGCACCAGAUAAGUCUAUGCCAUGUUUUCUCUCAGGAUUUCCACAGUAGCCCGAUGAGGUUCAUCCUCUUACCACAGCACUUUUCAGAGGAGCAAAAGGAAGCUCAGAGAGGUGCAGUGACAUUCCCAAAACAUACCGGUAGUAGAGGCAAGGCUUCCCCCUCCGCCAUGCUGCAUAUGGGGUGGUCACUCACUUGGGGAAUUGCUGGCCCAGGACCUGUUGGGCUGUGAUGAACACCUGGUAGAUACAGGAAAUGACUGGGUUGUUUGCGAGGCUUCUAUCCUGGAAGGAUGUUACCAAGGACUGUACAAAAUUAUCCAUUUUCCCUUCUUUGAGCAUCAGCAUGGUCCUGGCCUCACCCAGGAAUAGGGUUGAUUCCUUUUCACACCAGAGACACAAGGAGAAGCACUGUAGUCAGCUUCCAAACCAAGAACCACUGCGAAGAUCAGGGUCUGCCUCUCAGACCAGAGACUCCCUUCCCCUUGGGAAGUUGUACAGGACAAGGGACUUGAGUGCCCACACAGAAAAAGGUUUGAGGCUUCAAAGUAUCAUUGGUUUUAGGGAAGACAUCGUAAACCAUUAGUAACUUCAACACAUUCUGUUAGCUGGGCAAUAACAGCAUUCUUCUCAACUAAUAGUUUUAUGAAGACCAGUAUGCCAUUGAGUCUUCAGUUAUGGCCUCACACAGAACACAGAGGGCUAGACCCUCAAAUGCUGCUCAAGAUCACAUACAUUGCAGCUGAGAAGAGACCAGAGCGUGAGCUGCAUGGGGUUUCCCUUAAGCUGAUGUGGCUUGGUCUGUUCCUGACAUAGGGAUGAAGGGUCAGGGGAAAACUACUUUCUCCUGCAAGGCCCAAGGGCAUCAGUUGUUUCUAGUCUGUGUUCUGGUUUUGCCCUGAUCAUCUCUGUGUCUUGAGUUUGACCAUGAAUGUGGACCUGUUCUCACCGCAGACCUUCAAUGGAUGUAGUUGGUGGCCUGAUGCCCCUGUGCUUGUCAGAGGAGAUGGAGGAGUUCAACUCUUGGAGCAACUCAUCCAAGAUCUCCUGGAUGAGUUACAAACUCCUCUUCAUUACAAAAAGAGCCAGCUACUGGUGCCAGGAGGCAUCAGAGGCCUUCCCCCUAAUCUGGGGUUCCAGGUUAUGGCAGAUCUAGCAACCAAAACAGUCUGUGGGGACACAUAAGGUGUUCCUUGCAGCACUGCAGAAAUGGCAAGAGAAUGGCAUCAGGUCAAGUGCCAAGGGUCUCGAAAGUCUGAAUCCAUGUGGCAGACAGCCUCAUUUAUGAACUACUACGAAGAUCUAUAGGGAUACAGCUCUUGUCCUGUUGGGCCUACAAUGAUUUGAUGUGUUCUGAGAGAUGACAUGUUAUAGAGAAACGUAUAGAGAGAACCUAUAGAGGGAAACUAUAUAAACAUUCUAUAUGAAAACAUACACAAUGGCUUCAUCACACCCUUUUGUGUUAAAUCACCCUCUUUAGUGUGGUGAUUUGGAAAGGCUCGGAGAAGGUCUGCAGGGACAGUGGAGCUGGCUUCUACACAUGAUAGCUGGGAGGAGUACAUGAAAUGAUAAAAACAGAAGUAAAACGAAAGAUACUCAUGGCUUUGUGAAAACACACCCCCCCCCACCAACUCCUAAAAAACAUGAAAUAUAUUCUGCACCAUUCCAAUACAGGUGAAGAGUGUCUUCCCACAUCAUAUGUAGCUGGAGGAUAGGCGUGGAGGUUCAGAGGUCUCUACGGUUGGGCCGGUGGGACACUCAUGUGGAAACACUAUUGGAGGGCCCCAGUUUUCUCUCCAUAUUUGUGUGGGUGCCAUAUUUCUGUGGUGAGCCCUCUUCUCUUUCUCAACUCAGAACAGCACUGAUCCUUGUUUCUCUGGUGCACCUGAUAAUUGUCUAGGGAGUUGGAAUAGUUGAAGCCUCAGACCAUCUCCUCCAAGAUCUCCUGGGUGCAGCUCUGCAAAUACAGUGCCCCGUAUAUACAGGGCCAAGAGACAUUAGGGUCCUCCCUCGACAUCACCCCCAAGGGGACACCCCUAUUAGAAAUUACAUUCUCCUGUUCAGGCCAGAGGGGCAUCUGUGGAGACAUCUGGCAAGGAGGAAGCCAGGUGAAAGAAGCUCUUGGGCUCAUGACUAAUAUAUUGGAAGUUGAGCUUGGUGCCCAGAACUCACCUUCUCAUCAUGCCUGCUAUGACCUGGGGUCUGAGCACAAAAGAUGUAUCAGGCUUACAACUCCUGGAAGCUGGUCUGUGCCCUGUAAGGGCAUGUUCCUCUCCUCUGUCCCCUCUACACACACACACACACACACACACACACACACACACCCAGACACACAUAAACUCACAGACACACACAGUGAGGUGUAAGAGGUGUGAUCCUGCUCAGCUGAGAUCACAGUGUGGUCUCCUCACCAGUGGGCUGCCCCAGGUUGCCUUGUGGUACCUGUUGAUGUCUCCUGCCACAUAGCCAGAAGCGCUGGAGAAGAGGGCUGAGCUGACAUAGACAGCGACAUGAAAAUCUCUCACUCUGGACUCAGAGGACCUGAAAGUAGGACAAGAGUAAUAGAACAUCUUGUUCUCUUGACCAUCUCCAGUUAAGUGAACUGGAAAGCGGGACCUGGUUCCCAUAGUUUCCUGGUUACCAGAGUUCCACAUCAUUUGUGGGCCUGUCACCAAGGAAGUGAAGUCACUUUUUCAAGAUUCAAGGACCUGGGCCCCUUCCUUCAGUCAGACCUAUCCAGAGCCCCUUCUUAGCAGAUGCAUGCUUACCCAAUGUCAUCUUAACUGUACACGAUGAGCUAAAAAAUACCAAGACACAUCCCUCUGAACAUGCAAGUAAGGUCUACCUUUGAGAACACGGAGCUGAAUUCAGACCUUUAUUUCUCUGUUUUCCCAGUGCUGUGUCCUACCUAACCCACUGGGUCUAUCAAAUAGUCCACAGUUUCCCAACCUGCCCUGUGGGGAUCAGGCUAGAAUCUACUUCCUAGGCACAUCAUGUGUCUAUGGAUGAUAUUUAUAAUGCACGUGGGCUGGUAUCCUGUGUAUCUGAGGCACAAAUAUAAGGAUGGAAGAUUGACCAGAAGGGGUUUAAUGAACCAUGGAGUACCAGUUGAAUGUUGCCUGGGUUCCAGCAAUGUAAUAUCGCAAUAGCACGUUCCCUCUGUCCUCAUUUCAAUGGGGGCACCACGAUGGGGUGGAAAUGCUCCAAGAGGCACACAUUGUCACCUUCUGUAGUAAAACUAGCCAAUUAUUUCCUGUUAUACUUAGAAUGAGACUGCGUUGCCUCGUUUUGGCCUCAGCUGCAGCCAUUACAACGGCACCCAGGAUCCUGACCUAUGGUAUAAGUAUACCUGUGUAACCCCGAGGUAACCCCGAGGUGCUUCGUGACUGGCUUAUGACGAAUCUAGCACUUUCUACACUCGAUAGGUCUUCUAAGCACAAUAUCUCCAAAGAAACAAGAGCUUUAAAUGAUACACUGGACCAGAUGGAUUUCACAGAUAUCUACAGAACUUUAUGUCCAAAUGCAACUGAAUACACAUUCUUCUCAAGUGCACAUGGAACAUUCUCCAGAAUAGAUCACAUACUGGGUCACAAAUCAGGUCUUAACCGAUACCAAAAUAUUGGGAUCGUCCCCUGCAUAUUUUCAGACAGAGAAUGAUUUGAAAUUAGAAUUAAAUCACAAGAAGACGUUUGGAAGGAUUUCAAAAAUGUGGAGGUUAAGGACCAUCCUGCUAAAAGAUGAAAGGGUCAACCAGGAACAUAAGGAAGAAUUAAAAAGAUUCAUUGAAACUAAUGAGAAUGAAGAUACAACCAUUCAAAUUCUUUGGGAUACAGCAAAAGCAGUUCUGAGGGGGAAAUACAUCGCAAUACAAGCAUCCCUCCAAAAACUGGAAAGAACUCAAAUACAAAAGCUAACCUUACACCUAAAGGAGCUAGAGAAAAAACAGCAAAUAGAUCCUACACCCAGCAGAAGAAGAGUUAAUAAACAUUCAAGCAGAACUCAAUGUAAUAGAGACCAGAAGACCUUGGAACAGAUAAAAACAAAAAACAAAACAAAAAAAAAAAAAAAAACAACGAAGAAACAGGAGUUGGUUCUUUGAAAGAAUUAAUAAGAUACAUAAACCAUUAGCCAGCCUAAUUAGAAAGGAGAGAGAGAAGACUCAAUAAAAUCAUGAAUGAGAAAGGAGAGAUCACUACCAACACCAAGGAAAUACAAACGAUUUAAAAAACAUAUGAGCAGCUAUACGCUAAUAAAUUAGGCAAUCUAGAAGAAAUGGAUGCAUUCCUGGAAAGCCACAAACUACCAAAACUGGAACUGGAAGAGAUAGAAAACCUCCCAAGAGAAAAACCUCUCAAGACACAAAAGUCCAAGGCCAGAUGGCUUCCCUGGGGAAUUCUAUCAAACGUUUAAAGAAAAAAGCAUAUCUAUUCUACUAAAGCUGUUCAGAAAGAUAGAAAGCGAUGGAAUACUUCCAAACUCGUUCUAUGAGGCCAGCAUCACCUUAAUUCCAAAACCAGACAAAGGCCCCAUGAAAAAGGAGAAUUAUAGACCAAUAUCCCUGAUGAAUAUGGAUGCAAAAAUUCUCAACAAGAUACUAGCCAAUAGGAUCCAACAGUACAUUAAGAAGAUUAUUCAUCAUGAAAAGUAGGAUUUUUCCCUGGGAUGCAAGGCUGGUUCAAACCUCAUAAAACAAUCAAUGUGAUUCAUCAUAUCAACAAGAGCAAAAACAAGAACCAUAUGAUCCUCUCAUUAGAUGCAGAGAAAGCAUUUGACAAAACACUGCAUCCAUUCCUGAUCAAAACUCUUCAGAGUGUAGGGAUAGAGGGAACAUUCCUCAACAUCUUAAAAUCCAUCUACGAAAAGCCCACAGCAAAUAUCAUUCUCAAUGGGAAGCACUGGGAGCCUUUCCCCUAAGAUCAGGAACAAGACAGGGAUGUCCACUCUCACCACUGCUAUUCAACAUAGUACUGGAAGUCCUAACCUCAGCAAUCAGGCAACAAAAAGAAAUAAAAGGCAUUCAAAUUGGCAAAGAAGAAGUCAAACUCUCCCUCUUCACUGAUGACAUGAUACUCUAUGUAGAAAACCCAAAAGACUCCACCCCAAUGUUGCUAGAACUCAUACAGCAAUUUGGCAGUGUGGCAGGAUACAAAAUCAAUGCUCAGAAUCAGUGGCAUUUCUAUACACUAACAAUGAGACUGAAGAAAGAGAAAUUAAGGAGGCAAUCUCAUUUACAAUGGCACCCAAAAACAUAUGAUACCUAGGAAUAAACCUAACCAAAGAGGUAAAGGAAAAAACUACAGAACACUUCUAAAAGGAAUUGAGGAAGACAUGGAAAAAUAUUCCAUGCUCAUGGAUUGGCAGAAUUAAUAUUGUGAAAAUGUCAAUGUUACCCAGGGCAAUUUACACAUUUAAUGCAACCCUAUCAAAAUACCAUGGACUUUCUUCAGAGAGUUGGAACAAAUUAUUUUAAGAUUUGUGUGGAAUCAGAAAAGACCCUGAAUAGCCAGGGGAAUUUUAAAAAAGAAAACCAUAGCUUGGGGUAUCACAAUGCCAGAUUUCAGAUUGGAAUACAAACCUGUGGUCAUAAAGACAGUGUGGUACUGGCACAAAAACAGACACGUAGAUCAAUGGAACAGAAUAGAGAAUCCAGGAGUAGACCCUCAACUUUAGGGUCAACUAAUAUUCGAAAAAGGAGGAAAGACUAUCCACUAGAAAAAGACAGUCUCUUCAAUAAAUAGUGCUGGGAAAAUUGGUCAUCCAUAUGCAGAAGAAUGAAACUAGACUGCUGUCUUUCACCAUACACAAAGAUAAACUCAAAAUGGAUGAAAGAUCUAAAUGUGAGACAAGAUACCAUCAAAAUCCUAGAGAACACAGGCAACACCCUUUUUGAACUCGGCCACAGUAACUUCUUGCAAGAUACAUGCAUGAAGGCAAAAGAAACAAAAGCAAAAAUGAACUAUUGGGACUUCUUCAGGAUAAGAAGCUUUUGCACAGCAAAGUAUACAGUCAACAAAACUAAAAGACAACCUACAGAAUGGCAGAAGAUAUUUGAAAGUGAUGUGUCAGAUAAAGGACUAGUAUCCAAGAUCUAUAAAGAACUUAUUCAACUCAACAGCAAAGAAACAAACAAUCCAAUCAUGAAAUGGGCAAAAGACAUGAACAGAAAUCUCAGAGGAAGACAUAGACAUGGCCAACAAGCACAUGAGAAAAUGCUCCAUAUCACUUGCCAUCAGGGAAAUACAAAUCAAAACUGCAAUGAGAUUCCACCUAACACCAGUGAGAAUGGGGAACAUUAACAAGGCAGGAUACCACAAUUGUCGGAGAGGAUGUGGAGAAAGGGGAACCCUCUUGCACUGUUGGUGGGAAUGUGAACUGGUGCAGCCACUCUGGAAAACUGUGUGGAGGUUCCUCAAAGAGUUAAAAAUAGAUCUCCCCUAUGACCCAGCCAUUGCACUGCUGGGGAUUUACCCCAAAGAUACAGAUACAAUGAAACUCCGGGACACCUGCACCCUGAUGUUUCUAGCAGCAAUGUCCACAAUAGCCAAACUGUAGAAGGAGCCUUGGUGUCCAUCGAAAGAUGAAUGGAUAAAGAAGUUGUGGUCUCUGUAUACAAUGGAAUAUUACUCAGCCAUUGGAAACAACAAAUACCCACCAUUUGCUUCAACGUGAAUGGAGCUGGAGGGUAUUAUGCUGAGUGAAAUAAGUCAGUCAGAGAAGGACAAAUAUUAUGUGGUCUCAUUCAUUUAGGGACCAUAAAAAUAGUGAAAUGGAAUAAAGGAAAAAGGAGAAAAAUGGGUGGGAAAUAUCAUAAAGGGGGAUAGAACAUGAAAGACUCCUAACUCUGUGAAACGAACUAGGGGUGGUGGAAGGGGAGGAGGGCAGGGGUUGGGGGUGACUGGGUGAUGGGCACUGAGGUGGGUACUUGACAAGAUGAGCACUGGGUGUUAUUCUAUAUGUUGGCAAAAAUGAACACCAAUAAAUUUAUAAAUGAAAAGAAAUUAGUAUUAACCUUUUUCAAACUCCACUGAUUUUUUAAAAUAUUUUUUUCUCAUUAGGAAUUUAUUUUUAGAGCAGUUUUAGGUUCACAGAAACAUUGAGACAAAGUACAGAGACUUCCCAUAUAACUACUCCCACCACACAUGGUCCCCUUCUUGUUCAAAUCCCUCACCAGAUGGCACAUUGCUUAAAUUGAAGGGUCUACACUGACACAUCAUCCCUAGCUAACCUUAAGGCUCACCUUUGGUUCUGUACACUUUAUGGGUUUGGACAAUGCAUGAUGACACAUAUGCAUCAUUAGAGUAGCAUACAGCGUAUUUUCAUGGCCCUAAACAUCCUCUGUGCUCUGUCUGUUUAUCCCUCCACCCCACUUCCAGCAAGCACUGAUCUUUUUGUUCUCUACAGGGUUUUGCCUUUUCUGAAAUGUCAUAGAGUUGGAAACAUACAGUUAAACUGUUGUCUUUUCAUCAGAUUGGUUCUUUCAAUUAGUAAUACAGACGUAAUGUGCCUCCGUGUCUUUUCAUGGUCUGACAGCUCAUUUCUCUUUAUAGCAGGGCAUAACAUUCCAUAUUGUUGGAAUAGACCACAGUUCAUCCAUCCACCUACUGAUGGAUACUCUGGCUCCUUUCAAGUCCUCCCAAUUAUGAAUAAAGCUGUUAUUAGCAUCUGUA